rnacentral:rRNA from 1 species
UACGUAGGGAGCAAGCGUUGUCCGGAUUCACUGGGUGUAAAGGGUGCGCAGGCGGGAGAGUAAGUCAGAGGUGAAAUCUCACAGCUUAACUGUGAAACUGCCUUUGAUACUGCUUUUCUUGAGUUCGGGAGAGGUUGAUGGAAUUCCAGGUGUAGCGGUGAAAUGCGUAGAUAUCUGGAAGAACACCGGUGGCGAAGGCGGCCAACUGGGCCUUAACUGACGCUGAGGCGCGAAAGCGUGGGGAGCAAACAGG